CCUGUGAUCAGGAGAGAUGACACCGACAUCGCCGGAAUUCGUUCUUGGUCUUGUGCCAUGAUGAAUUGAUGGUCCGUUUGAUGCAGGUGUCAUCUCCCCUGAACAUAGG
rnacentral:pre_miRNA from 1 species